rnacentral:rRNA from 1 species
CAGCAGUCGCCACGGUAAUACGAAGGGUGCAAGCGUUACUCGGAAUUACUGGGCGUAAAGCGUGCGUAGGUGGUGGUUUAAGUCCGUUGUGAAAGCCCUGGGCUCAACCUGGGAAUUGCAGUGGAUACUGGGUCACUAGAGUGUGGUAGAGGAUAGUGGAAUUUCCGGUGUAGCAGUGAAAUGCGUAGAGAUCGGAAGGAACAUCUGUGGCGAAGGCGACUAUCUGGGCCAACACUGACACUGAGGCACGAAAGCGUGGGGAGCAAACAGGAUUAGAGACCCGCGUAGUCCCUGUCUCUUAUAC